GACUCUGUAGUGAAGUUCAUAGUGAGUUGCAAGCUCAUUGAUGUGCAUGCAUUGCACCGGAGUCU
rnacentral:tRNA from 1 species